UAGACCAGUGAUAAAUAUUCUGAGAUGUAUGAAUCCAGGAUUUUGAUUCAACUCUGCAACUUUGAGGCCUAU